UGGGGAAUUUUGGACAAUGGAGCAGCUCACAGAUGCCGCGUGUGUGAAGAAGGCCUUCGGGUUGUAAAGCACUUUUGUCCGGAAAGAAAUCCUUGGCUCUAAUACAGUCGGGGGAUGACGGUACCGGAAGAAUAAGCACCGGCUAACUACGUGCCAGCAGCCGCGGUAAUACGUAGGGUGCAAGCGUUAAUCGGAAUUACUGGGCGUAAAGCGUGCGCAGGCGGUUUGCUAAGACCGAUGUGAAAUCCCCGGGCUCAACCUGGGAACUGCAUUGGUGACUGGCAGGCUAGAGUAUGGCAGAGGGGGGUAGAAUUCCACGUGUAGCAGUGAAAUGCGUAGAGAUGUGGAGGAAUACCGAUGGCGAAGGCAGCCCCCUGGGCCAAUACUGACGCUCAUGCACGAAAGCGUGGGGAGCAAACAGGAUUAGAUACCCUGGUAGUCCACGCCCUAAACGAUGUCAACUAGUUGUUGGGGAUUCAUUUCCUUAGUAACGUAGCUAACGCGUGAAGUUGACCGCCUGGGGAGUACGGUCGCAAGAUUAAAACUCAAAGGAAUUGACGGGGUCAUAGCUGUUUCCU
rnacentral:rRNA from 1 species